rnacentral:rRNA from 1 species
UAUGUGAUCGUCUCUCGCAUAUCAAUAAGCGGAGGAAAAGAAACUAACAAGGAUUCCCCUAGUAACGGCGAGUGAAGCGGGAAGAGCUCAAAUUUGAAAUCUUAAAGGGUUUCCCUUUACGAAUUGUAGUUUAAAGAAGUGUUUUCUGUUGAGGUUUUGGUAAAAGUUCCUUGGAAUAGGACAUCAUAGAGGGUGAGAAUCCCGUAUUUGACCUUUACUUUCAACUUUGUGAUACACUUUCAAAGAGUCGGAUUGUUUGGGAAUGCAGUCCAAAAUGGGUGGUAAAUUUCAUCUAAAGCUAAAUAUUGGCGAGAGACCGAUAGCGAACAAGUACCGUGAGGGAAAGAUGAAAAGAACUUUGAAAAGAGAGUUAAACAGUACGUGAAUUGUCAAAAGGGAAGCGUUUGACACCAGUGUUGUUUUUCUGAAAAUCAACUAAAGAACUGUUUAUGCUAAGUUGUUUAGACUUUAUCAGCUAACUGUUUAGUUUUGAGCUUUUCUUUAAUGCACUUUUCAGUUAACAAGUCAACAUCAAUUUCUUUUGCUGUAAAAAAGCUUGAGGAAGGUGGCUUGAGAUUCGUCUUAAGUGUUUAUAGCCUCUUGCCUAUGCAGUCGGAGAGAUUGAGGUCUGCAGCGUAGAUCCUUCGGGGCUAAAUGCAUUUGUGCUAAGUUAUAGCAUUUUAUAGACAACUUGUUGACUAUGAUUUGUCUUGUAGCUUACUCGCUUAUGUUAUUUUACCUACGCUUAGGAUGUUGAAGAUAUGCGCGACACG